AAAAAGUUAGUUAAUAAUAAUAUAAGCUUGUCAAGCUUAAGUGAUUCCACUGGAAUACUUUUUA
rnacentral:tRNA from 1 species